rnacentral:rRNA from 1 species
UUAUCAAAAACAUCGCCUCUUGCAUUACAAAAUAUAAGAGGUCCCACCUGCCCUGUGACUCUAAGUUUAACGGCCGCGGUAUUCUAACCGUGCGAAGGUAGCGCAAUCAAUUGCCUUUUAAAUGAAGGCCUGUAUGAAUGGUAUAACGAGGGUCUGACUGUCUCUUUUUUCUAGUCAGUUAAACUGAUCUGUCCGUGCAGAAGCGGACAUCUCAAUACAAGACGAGAAGACCCUAUGGAGCUUUAGACACUAGCCAACUGUGAAUAAGCGAUUGAAUUACACAAAUCUUAAAUGCCCACAGCCCUGGUAAUGUAGUCUUAGGUUGGGGCGACCACGGGAGAAAGCAAAGCUCCCAAGCAGACCGGGACAACCCUUAAGCCGAGAGUUGCAACUCUAAGCCGCAAAAAUUUUGACUGAAAUGAUCCGGUUUAAAAACCGAUUAACGAACCAAGUUACCCUAGGGAUAACAGCGCAAUCCCCUCCCAGAGUCCCUAUCGACGAGGGGGUUUACGACCUCGAUGUUGGAUCAGGACAUCCUAAUGGUGCAGCCGCUAUUAAGGGUUCGUUUGUUCAACGAUUAAAGUCCUACGUGAUCUGAGUCA